AUACGGAGGGUGCAAGCGUUACUCGGAAUCACUGGGCGUAAAGGACGCGUAGGCGGGAUGGUAAGUCUGAUGUGAAAUCCUACAGCUUAACUGUAGAACUGCAUUGGAAACUACUAACCUAGAGUAUGGGAGGGGGAGAUGGAAUUAGUGGUCUAGGGGUAAAAUCCGUAGAUAUCACUAGGAAUACCUAAAGCGAAGGCGAUCUCCUGGAACAAUACUGACGCUAAGGCGUGAAAGCGUGGGGAGCAAACGGGAUUAGAAACCCCAGUAGUCC
rnacentral:rRNA from 1 species